UACGGGGGGGGCAAGCGUUGUUCGGAAUUACUGGGCGUAAAGGGCUCGUAGGCGGCCAACUAAGUCAGACGUGAAAUCCCUCGGCUUAACCGGGGAACUGCGUCUGAUACUGGAUGGCUUGAGGUUGGGAGAGGGACGCGGAAUUCCAGGUGUAGCGGUGAAAUGCGUAGAUAUCUGGAGGAACACCGGUGGCGAAGGCGGCAUCCUGGACCAAUUCUGACGCUGAGGAGCGAAAGCCAGGGGAGCAAACGGG
rnacentral:rRNA from 1 species